ensembl:lncRNA
UAUAUAUAUAUAUAUAUAUAUAUAUAUAUAUAUAUAUAUAUAUAAAUGGCUGCUCUUAAUGCUAGUCAGGAUCUCUAGGUCACACUGAACAGCUGCGCUCACACCCGAAAGCCCAGCAGCAAUUCAUCAUAACCGUCAUACGAGCCAUCAUUAGCAAGUUCUCAUUUAUCAGUGCCACCUUGUCCUCUUUUUUUUUGUUUUAUCAGUCUUUUUUUCUCUCCUCUCGACUUGUCAGUAGUGGUUUUAAUCUGUACAAGAUGUAGUUGUUCAUAAGACACUGUUAUCAUGUACUAGCAUAAUUUCUUGUGCCAAAGAAACUUUGUAACCCGCUCUUCUAAACCAUUUAGGAUGAAGGAGUGUCUUGGGCUAUGGUUUUAAACGUAGCAAUUAGCAUCGGAAAUAACAGACUAGACUAAUUGUUUGUUUUUUAUGCCUGUGCUCUUUGCUAAUGCUUUUCCAUCUGCUUCUUCAGUAACUAGGCUAAACUGUAUUUUGUGCUAAGCACAAUCAGCUUCGACAGAGUAACUAGUACUGUGCACUCCCGUGUGAGAGAAAGAUUAUUUUGUUUUAAAAGCGAGAGAUAAUUAUAUUUAUUAAGGCCUUUUAGACACUGGAUUAAAGAUAUUUUAACGGGCCAGAGACAGAGUCCUCAUCAGGAUGCUUUGUGUAUUGUAUUUUACGUCACUGGAGCGUGUGAUGGAGAUGUAUGGGUGCUGCAAAGGGACAAAUCAAUCUAUUCUACAAGCUCAUACGAUCUCAACCAUCAUCCGUAGUCGGUUACAGACAGGCUUUUUGGACGACGACCGAUUCUGCGAUUUUUUUUAAUUUUAAUUUUUUAUUUUUUUUUUAUCCCUACAUAUUUUUCUCCAUUCCAUUGUUUGUAAAUGACUCAGAAGAAGGAGAAAAAGAAAGAAAAAAAAAUUCAAAUGGACACAAGCGCUCUUGGACGUUUGUUCUUCUUACUGAGAAAACAUGUUUGCUUUUGUUUAAUUCAUUGUUUUUAAUACUAGACUUUAUGAUGAUAUUCCAUUUCGUGGCACCUGAAUAAGAUUUUAUGCUGUCCUUCCUUCCUAUUAUGGAUGUGUUCGAUUUCCACUGGGCUUUGUGAUGUUGCCUUUUUUGUUUGUUUUUUUGUGAUUGCAAAAUGACAUACUGGGCUGGGCCUAAUCAUUCUAUGACUUUGUGUUUCAGAGAGUCUGUGUUUUUAUGUAUCUACAAAAUGUGCUCAAGUGUGUGUUUUGCCUCUUGUAAUGUUUUAACCUGUGGAACGUUUAAAAAAAAAAUGUUUUAAAAAAAAAAAAAUGGAAGAGAGUAAAUGAGACCAAAUAAAAUUUAACACAACUUUAAAAAAACAAACAACAAAAAAAAACACACCACUUUGCUGGACAGUAUUAACUGAGGCAUAAAAUUAAUUUGAAAUGUUUUUUUCAUGUUUUAUAGAGUGCUAAUUAAUGGUGGAGAGGAUUGUAUGCUUCACUGGGAUGUUAAUAGUUCCGUGUGGGUCAUUGUGUUAGCGGGGGAAAGUUUGGGCCGUGUCAGGAUUUCCUCACCCUAACACUCCCUUAUUUCCCUUUUAAAUGGAGUGUUUUAUACAUUUUGGCUCUUUUGCCUUGGCUUGGUGUGUUUGUUUGGUUUGUGUGCGGCCCAAUAAGACCGUUAACUUAAAAAGGAUUAAUUUUUAUACGCCGCAUGUUUAAAAAAUUUUAAAUUUAAAAAAUGUUGGCACCAUCACACCUAACAAUAGCACCACUUCCUAAUAACUCUGUUUAAAAAGGUUUAAUUUCCUUAACUUUGGUAGGUUUGCUCAUGCGGAUCGUCUCCUUCCAAUCAAUUUUUCAACAGGUUUACAGUCCAGAGAUUAGGAUAGCAAAACAUUGAUUUUCCAUCCUGCAACCAGUUCUGUUCAUUUGGAUUUAAGAUUUGAUGAAAGAUCCUAUGACCAGGUCUUAACCUCUUGUUCAUGGUUCUGUAUGUUAGGUCUAAACUGGAACCAUUCCAGAUGUUUCCAACUCAAAACUUUUGGCCCUACCGCCAAAAGCCUGUUUACCUGGAGCUAAUUCUGUGCCGUUUCAAUGCCUGAAAAAUGUGUGUUGGGGGUUUAAAGAUUAUUGCUGAAUUAAACAAACAAAAAAAAGUGAUCCAUUAAUAUUGCAACAAUGAAUCAAUG